GAUGAACGCUGGCGGCGUGCCUAAUACAUGCAAGUCGAGCGAACAGACGAGGAGCUUGCUCCUCUGACGUUAGCGGCGGACGGGUGAGUAACACGUGGAUAACCUACCUAUAAGACUGGGAUAACUUCGGGAAACCGGAGCUAAUACCGGAUAAUUUUUUGAACCGCAUGGUUCAAUAGUGAAAGACGGUUUUGCUGUCACUUAUAGAUGGAUCCGCGCCGCAUUAGCUAGUUGGUAAGGUAACGGCUUACCAAGGAAACGAUGCGUAGCCGACCUGAGAGGGUGAUCGGCCACACUGGAACUGAGACACGGUCCAGACUCCUACGGGAGGCAGCAGUAGGGAAUCUUCCGCAAUGGGCGAAAGCCUGACGGAGCAACGCCGCGUGAGUGAUGAAGGUCUUCGGAUCGUAAAACUCUGUUAUUAGGGAAGAACAAAUGUGUAAGUAACUAUGCACGUCUUGACGGUACCUAAUCAGAAAGCCACGGCUAACUACGUG
rnacentral:rRNA from 1 species